rnacentral:rRNA from 1 species
GACGAACGCUGGCGGCGUGCUUAACACAUGCAAGUCGAACGGUGAAGCGCCUUCCUUUUUGGUGGGUGUGGAUGAGUGGCGAACGGGUGAGUAACACGUGAGUAACCUGCCCCCUUCUUCUGGAUAACCGCAUGAAAGUGUGGCUAAUACGGGAUAUUCUGGGUCUGUCGCAUGAUGGGUCUGGGAAAGAUAUUGUUUCGGUGGGGGAUGGGCUCGCGGCCUAUCAGCUUGUUGGUGGGGUGAUGGCCUACCAAGGCGGUGACGGGUAGCCGGCCUGAGAGGGUGGACGGUCACACUGGGACUGAGACACGGCCCAGACUCCUACGGGAGGUAGCAGUGGGGAAUAUUGCACAAUGGGCGCAAGCCUGAUGCAGCGACGCCGCGUGAGGGAUGGAGGCCUUCGGGUUGUGAACCUCUUUCGCCAGUGAAGCAGGCCUGCCUCGUUUGUGGGUGGGUUGACGGUAGCUGGAUAAGAAGCGCCGGCUAACUACGUG